rnacentral:rRNA from 1 species
ACGAACGCUGGCGGCGUGCCUAAUACAUGCAAGUCGAACGGUCUUUCUAUGGAAGCUUGCUUCCACUGAGAAGAUAGUGGCGAACGGGUGAGUAACACGUGGGUAACCUGCCCAUAAGAGGGGGAUAACAUCCGGAAACGGGUGCUAAUACCGCAUAGUUUUCUUGAUCGCAUGAUUGAGAAAGGAAAGACGGCCUUUGUGCUGUCGCUUAUGGAUGGACCCGCGGCGUAUUAGUUAGUUGGUGAGGUAACGGCUCACCAAGACGAUGAUACGUAGCCGACCUGAGAGGGUGAUCGGCCACAUUGGGACUGAGACACGGCCCAAACUCCUACGGGAGGCAGCAGUAGGGAAUCUUCCGCAAUGGACGAAAGUCUGACGGAGCAACGCCGCGUGAGUGAAGAAAGGUUUUCGGAUCGUAAAACUCUGUUGUCAGAGAAGAACAAGUUGGAGAGUAACUGCUCCAGCCUUGACGGUAUCUGACCAGAAAGCCACGGCUAACUACGUGCCAGCCGCAGC